CUUUGGCUUCAUAGUCAGAAUAUUGCUUUUCUAACAUUGUAGGUAUGAAUCUCCUGUUUAAUUUCCAGUGUUGGCUGCGAUGCAAAAUGUGUUGGGGGAAAAAAUGACUUAGCAGGUUCUGUAGGAGACAUCCUUACAUCCCACAUCUGAAGAUACCAGUAAGAGGAGAGGACAAGUCACAUCUAUUUCUGGCACAUGAAGAAGAACUGAUGGUGAGUGUGAACAAUCCUCUAUGUUUAACCUUUUAGUAACACUUUCUCUACAAAGUGGGAAAGAGAGAUGCUCACUAUAAGACAGAGAGCCCAGUGGCUCUGUAUUUCAAGAAAAAAUAAAAGAGCUUUUAAAAAUACUGCCUAAGGAGGGAGAAUGUUCACAUCUAUUUUGGAAUGGGUGAAAGUGAGUGACUUGUGUUACUGGAAGAUUUGAUCUAAUGUGUCCCAGGUUCUUUGAGUUUGUCACUGGCCCAGAGAACACUCAAAGAGUUACCUGGUAGCAUCUCAGAAGGUGAUACUGCUACAUAUCUCCCUCACCAAAAUUCAAAAUGCCUGAAAUUUCAUCAUUAGAGAUGACUUGUUUAUGGCUAAAUAUUCUACCCUGUUAUCUUUCUUAACAGAUCGGGGGAAAAUAUGGCCUACUGAUGUUAAAACCCCCAUGUGAGUUGGGACUCUGGGGAUCUGGGGCAUCUGGGGAUGAUCUGGAAGGAAUGAGAAAGGAGAGAAAUGAUGCAGAAAGGGAAAGAGUAACUUUCCUAAAGUUUACCUUAUGUGAAGUCAUCGCUCUCCCUAACGCUUCUUUGAGCUAACUUGCUAACCUGCCUAGAGCCAGCUUUAGGAGUUCCUAGUUUAGGGUGCAUUAAAUGCUGCUGGUCAGGGAGCCCUGACCAGAGAAUACAGCUGGUCCUUUUGACUUUGGUCUGUAACUGAGGAAAGGGCAGUUUCUUUACCAGUGAGGGGCACUGCUGUAAGACCAGGCAGUGCUGCCAGUGUGGGCAGUACUGGAUACUCCCCUCCCUUCUCUCCCUUCUUUCAUCUGGUUACAGGCAUGCAGGUCAAAUGCCAGGUCCUGAUGCAUGCUUCCUUAGGUUUUCUAUCUACUUUACCAAAUAUUAUCUCUACUGCUGACCAUUCCA
ensembl:lncRNA